AUGCUGUCGGGCGAGAGCGCGUCGAGGGUCGACGGCGUGGCCGCGGCGAGCGCGGCGGCGGCCUGCACGUCCUUGGGCGCGGCGGACGCGGCGCGCGGCAGCUCGUGCGCGAGGUCCGGGAAGUUGAGGUGCGCGGCGCGGCCCUUGAUGGCGAUGGCGGCGACGUCGUGCGCGCGCGCGGCCAUCUCGGCGGUGUCGAAGGUGCCGAGCCAGAUGCGGGACUUCUUGCGGGGCUCCCUGAUCUCGGACACCCACUUGCCCCAGGUGCGCAUGCGCACGCCGCGGUACGUCGGGUGCUUCAGGUCCCUGCGCGGCCGCUUCUUGCCGGCGGCGACGGCGCUGCUGUCGUCGGAGCUCGGCGACGACGCGUUCAGGGAGCCGGAGCUCGUGUUGCUGCAGGUGCAGCAGCUGCUAUUACCGGACACCUGA
rnacentral:rRNA from 1 species